rfam:Delta proteobacterium MLS_D scaffold_3, whole genome shotgun sequence.
AGAGUGGAUCGGGUGGUCGCCGGUUCGUGCAAUCGGGCCGGAGGAAAGUCCGAGCUCCACAGGGCAGGAUGGUCGCUAACGGCGACUGGGGGCGACCCUAAGGAAAGUGCCACAGAAAAUAUACCGCCCCGUCGCAGGACGGGGUAAGGGUGAAAAGGCGAGGUAAGAGCUCACCGCUUUCCCGGCGACGGGAAAGGCAUGGUAAACCCCAUCCGGAGCAAGACCGAAUAGGAGAGCGUUUGAGGGCGGCCCGUCCGAAGCUCUCGGGUAGUGUCGCUUGAGACGGCGGGUAACCGUUGUUCCAGAUGAAUGAUCACCGUCUUCCGGAAUAUUCCGGAAGAAACAGAACUCGGCUUACAGAUCCACUCUGAUA